rnacentral:tRNA from 1 species
GCGGGAGUAGCACAAUGGUAGUGUUUCAGCCUUCCAAGCUGGCCACGCGGGUUCGAUUCCCGUCUCCCGCU